AACACGUAGGUGACCUACCGUACAGUGGGGGAAUAACCGGAAGAAAUUCCGGCUAAUACCGCAUACGCAGUACAAUUUUGUAAAGUAGUACUGGAAAGGAUGCUUCGGCAUUCACUGAACGAUGGGCCUGCGUAGCAUUAGUUUGAUGGUGGGGGUAAUGGCCUACCAUGACUACGAUGCUUAGCUGGUCUGAGAGGAUGAUCAGCCACACUGGGAACUGAGACACGGUCCAGACUCCUACGGGAGGCAGCAGUGGGGAAUAUUGCGCAAUGGGGGAAACCCUGACGCAGCAAUGCCGCG
rnacentral:rRNA from 1 species